AAAGUAAUCCCUCCGUCCCAAAAUUCUUGUCUUAGAUUUGUCUAGAUAUGGAUGUAUCAAGUCACAUUUUAGUAUUAGAUACAUCCGUAUCUAGAAAAAUCUAAGACAAGAAAUUUGGGACAGAGGGAGUAGUUG
rnacentral:pre_miRNA from 1 species